rnacentral:rRNA from 1 species
UACGUAGGGUGCAAGCGUUGUCCGGAAUUAUUGGGCGUAAAGAGCUCGUAGGCGGUUUGUCGCGUCUGCUGUGAAAACUCGGGGCUUAACUCCGGGCCUGCAGUGGGUACGGGCAGACUAGAGUGAUGUAGGGGGAGACUGGAAUUCCUGGUGUAGCGGUGAAAUGCGCAGAUAUCAGGAGGAACACCGAUGGCGAAGGCAGGUCUCUGGGCAUUAACUGACGCUGAGGAGCGAAAGCAUGGGGGAGCGAACAGG